rnacentral:sRNA from 1 species
UCCCUGCCCUUUGCUCUUCCAAAGCCCCUCCACACCACAUUGUGGACCUCAGUGUAACCCAGUACCUUGCUUAGCCCUUUUUAGUCUUUUCACAGGUUUCUAUGUGGAUUUUUAAUACCUAGACUGAAUACUGGCCAGCUGGACGUUUGGAUUUUGUUUUGUUUUUUGUUGUUGUUUUCCAAACCAACCAGCCUCUGUGUUGAUCUAAACAUCUGUUUACUAUCAGGGUAACUUUACUAUGCUUUGAUACCUUUUUAAAAUUUGAUGGCUACCAGGCUGCUAAAGAAUUUGAACUCUAGAUUGAGGAAGAGAUCCUGCUCGUAAGGACAGAGGCCACUGGAUGGCUUUUUCUGGCCUCCACACGUGCACAGCCAAUGGCAUCUGACUGUGAAGUAGAGCUUCCACAGAUGAGAUGGGACACUGUCACCGCCUGCUGGGGACGAAAGACAGGAGCACUGUUGGCCUCGGUGGGGUUUGCUACCUGCAUGGCUCCCGGACACCUUAGCUUAAGUUCUCCUUCCUCUCAACAGUAAGUGCUAGAAACAUUUGACAGAAAGAUCCUGGAGCCAUCUCAACAAGGGAGUCAAAGGCUAGCAACAUGGCUCAGCUGGUAGAGGUACUUGUCAUGCAAGCUUGGUGACCUGAGUUCAUCCAUGGAACCCACAUAAAGGUGGACAGAGGAAACUGACUCUACAAAAUUGUCAUCUGAGAUCCACAGGGUAAUGCGGCAUGAACUGUGUGCAUACAUUCAAGCACACUCAGGCACACACAUGCACACAAACACACACACACACACACACACACCACUUCCAUGCACACAGAUAGAAGAAAAAAAAUCAAAAAGUUAAAGGACACAAACUAUAAUAUUUUAAGAGACUUCCCAACUCAUCAAUGAAGUCGUUUCCCUGUAAAGUGUCUGUGUACUUUCACAAACCCAUCGGUGAAAGGAGGAGUCAGGAGAGUGUGUCCCACCCAGCACUUAGCUCAGAGGAGAAGCCUUUGUCUUGUUUUUAAAGGGAAAGAGCUAAACUAAAAUAAUACUAGAUUAUGAGACGUUCGAGAGUCAACUCUGUGCACUUGAGAAUGCCAACGAGGAAUGAAUGAGUGGAUUUCUCAAAUGUUGCCACUGGGUUGGAAAUGACAGAAGUCUGAGAUGCCUCGGUGGGGAAAGGCACAGUGGCCUGAGCUCAAUCUCUAGCACCCACUUUGGUGGAGGAAGAGAACUGACUCCAGCAGGUCGUCCUCUGACGAUCAUACAUUAUUUUAUUUGCAAAUAAAUAAAUAUAUGUAGUAAGGUUAUUUUAAAUGAUGGAGUAACUCAGGGACAGACCAUAGUGGUUUCUUUCUUUUCCUCCCUCUCCCUUCUCUCUUUUCUCUCC